rnacentral:rRNA from 1 species
AGAGUUUGAUCAUGGCUCAGAUUGAACGCUGGGCGGCAUGCCUUACACAUGCAAGUCGAACGGCAGCACGGGAGCUUGCUCCUGGUGGCGAGUGGCGAACGGGUGAGUAAUACAUCAGAACGUACCCUGAAGUGGGGGAUAACGUAGCGAAAGUUACGCUAAUACCGCAUAUUCUGUGAGCAGGAAAGAGGGGGAUCGCAAGACCUCUUGCUUUUAGGAGCGGCCGAUGUCGGAUUAGCUAGUUGGUGAGGUAAAGGCUCACCAAGGCGACGAUCCGUAGCGGGUCUGAGAGGAUGAUCCGCCACACUGGAACUGAGACACGGUCCAGACUCCUACGGGAGGCAGCAGUGAGGAAUAUUGGUCAAUGGGAGCAAUCCUGAACCAGCAAUGCCGCGUGUGGGAUGACAGGGCUUCGCCUUGUAAACCACUGUCGGACGGGACGAAAGGAGGCCUCGGGCCUCUGGGACGGUACCGUCAAAGGAAGGGUCGGCUAACUACGUG